CCUGACUUCGGGUUAGUCUGGAUUUGGCCCCUGAUGGUGCUAGCCACUACUCUCGUCACAUAUGAGAGACAACAGCGCCCUCUGGUGUUUAAAGCCCAGAUCCACAAAAGGAGGGACAAGAGAAAAGGCUCUCAAGGCAGGACAAAGUCACUCCUCUACCCCAGGGUGCCAGACCAAGUGAAAGGGCUAGUCUGACAACGCACCCCUGUUCUGGAAAGCCAGGCUUUUCGGAGCCUGGAGAGACAGUGUCUCAGAUUUGACCAGCAUCAGGGCCUGUACUGGCCGGAGCCAGCCUAGAUGAAUGAGAGCAUAGUGCAUCUGGAGCAGGAAGGAGAUAGUCUUUUCCAGAAAGUUCGGCUACACUAAUCAUCCUUUCACGGAAAGGAGGGAACAGCAUCUCCAUAAACCACGCCCAAGGACUCUGGCCCUAGGAGAGCGUUUUUAGCGGGGCGUUUUCAAGGGGACAGCCAGGUGAGCACACGGAUAGCUGGAGACCCUGAAUUUCCUUCCUUGGACUGCUUCCUGGUCCUAAGGCAACCGCCAUACUGGCCCCUGUCACCGGCGAUGCUGAUAAUCCCAGAUUUUUCUGAAUAAGGACAGGACAGGCCUGCUGGAAAUUGAGCAGGAGACUGUGACUCCCUGGCUCGGUCAACAGGUACAGCCUCUUUCUGAGGGCUUGUUCGGUGCCAGCUCCGAAAGUGACCAGAAGUAUCACUGUAGGACGAGACCAACCACUCUGCACCUCCGUAUCCACCUGCUCAGUGAGCAAAAGCAAUUCAUGGAAUGGUUCGGGGGAGAGAAUACACCAGGAGGGCCAGCACAGGGCAGCACCUGCACAAAGAAUUUGGCUGACAUCUAAGUGGAAUCAAGAGGCAGCUGGACUACAGACAGUCUCUCCCUGGCAAGUCUUAGACUUUCAUUCCUCCCGCCUCCAUCUCUCAAGUCCCAGGACAGAAGAUUUGCACAAGUCAACCUUUCAAUACUGAAGUAGCAUUGGCACAGCAAUACCUGUGUCACAGUCAAUUGCGUGUCUUCAAAGAAUCUGGGGGCAAGGAGCAGGUGUAAAAGGUAAAAAGAGACUUUCGUAAGUUACGUUGAUGCAAUGAUCCUUGGCCACAGAAUCAGUAGCAACGGUGGCUACUGUCCAAGGUUAAACACAACGCUGGGCAGAUGUUUUCUGUGUGAGGCUGCUGUAGUCUGAGUGGGACGGUGGCUGUGACAGCCUUUUGUCAAUAGUUUUUCUAAUUAAUCAUUUGUGAAAUGUUUCUUUCUUGAUUUCACUUUAGUAUCUUGUAAUACUUGACAAAAGCAAUUACACUUUCAUUCAUUCUUCUUUUUUUUUCUUUCAGAACCAGAGUCUCACAUAACCUAAGCUGGACUUGAACUUCUGAUCCUUCUGCCUCCACCUCCUAGCUGCUGAGAUUAUAGGUGUGUACU
rnacentral:lncRNA from 1 species